rnacentral:rRNA from 1 species
AUUGAACGCUGGCGGCAGGCCUAACACAUGCAAGUCGAACGAGUGGCGGACGGGUGAGUAAUGUCUGGGAAACUGCCUGAUGGAGGGGGAUAACUACUGGAAACGGUAGCUAAUACCGCAUACCAUCGGAUGUGCCCAGAUGGGAUUAGCUUGUUGGUGGGGUAACGGCUCACCAAGGCGACGAUCCCUAGCUGGUCUGAGAGGAUGACCAGCCACACUGGAACUGAGACCCGGUCCAGACUCCUACGGCAGGCAGGCGUGGGGACUAUUGCACAAUGGGCGCGAGCCUUCUGCAGCCAUGCCGCGUGUAUGAAGAAGGCCUUCGGGUUGUAAAGUACUUUCAGCGGGGAGGCGUUACCCGCAGAAGAAGCACCGUCUAACUCCGUGCCAGCAGCCGCGGUAAUAC